rnacentral:tRNA from 1 species
GGAGAGAGAGGGAUUC